GUUUCAGGGCGGGGUGUAAUUCCCCACUGGCGGUAAGGGGGUAUUCCCAAGCCCGCGAGCUUUAUAGCUGAUUUGGUGUGAUUCCAAAGCCAACGGUAUAGUCCGGAUGAAAGAAA
rnacentral:ncRNA from 1 species